rnacentral:lncRNA from 10 species
CUGCCAGCCAAGUGAAUAGGCCAUUUUGGAUGGCCAGGCCUGUCCAAACUUCUGAUGACUCCAGCCCCAGCUGUUGUCUGACUGCAAUUGUAUGAAAGACCCCAAGCAAGAACUGCCCAGCUGAGCUUAGUCAGCCCAUAGAACCGUGAGAGGCUGCUCUUGUGACUUGAUUUGACAAAUGGAAUCUGGCAGAAGUGACAUUGGAUGUCUUC